CUGGGUUCCGCGGCCGGUGCGCAGGCGCCGAGGCCCGGCUGGGGACUUUGUUCUCCACCGAGAGACCCAAGGGCGGUGCCGGGGCCCGGCUGCGCACGCGCGCCGCCUCAUUUCCGGUGCUCUCCUUCGCUGGGUCGCUCGGGUCGGCUUCGGUCGGCGUCGCUCCCGCUCUUCCACCCCCGCCAACCGCCUCCGAGGCCUCCGCCGCCGCCGCGCCGCUUUCUCGCUUUCUCGAUCGCACAUCCUCCCCGAUGCAGCGCCGGGACGACCCCGCCGCGCGCAUGAGCCGGUCCUCCGGCCGCAGCGGCUCCAUGGACCCCUCGGGUGCCCACCCCUCGGUGCGUCAGGCGCCGUCCCGGCAGCCGCCGCUGCCUCACCGGUCCCGGGGAGGCGGAGGAGGGUCCCGGGGGGCCGCCCGGGCCUCGCCCGCCACGCAGCCGCCACCGCUGCUGCCGCCCUCGGCCACAGGUCCCGACGCGACAGUGGGCGGUCCGGCGCCGACCCCGCUGCUGCCCCCCUCAGCCACUGCCUCGGUCAAGAUGGAGCCGGAGAACAAGUACCUGCCCGAACUCAUGGCUGAGAAGGACUCGCUCGACCCGUCCUUCACUCACGCCAUGCAGCUGCUGACGGCAGAAAUUGAGAAGAUUCAGAAAGGGCUUUCAAAAAAGGACGAUGAGGAGAAUUACUUGGAUUUAUUUUCUCAUAAGAACAUGAAGCUGAAGGAGCGGGUACUGAUACCUGUCAAGCAGUAUCCCAAGUUCAAUUUUGUGGGGAAGAUCCUUGGACCACAAGGGAACACUAUCAAAAGACUGCAAGAAGAGACUGGUGCAAAGAUCUCUGUGUUGGGCAAAGGCUCAAUGAGAGACAAAGCCAAGGAGGAAGAGCUGCGCAAAGGUGGAGACCCCAAAUAUGCCCAUUUGAAUAUGGAUCUGCAUGUCUUCAUUGAAGUCUUUGGACCUCCAUGUGAGGCUUAUGCUCUUAUGGCACAUGCUAUGGAGGAAGUCAAGAAGUUUCUAGUACCGGAUAUGAUGGAUGAUAUCUGUCAGGAGCAGUUUCUAGAGCUGUCCUAUUUGAAUGGAGUACCAGAGCCCUCUCGAGGACGUGGGGUGCCAGUGAGAGGCCGGGGUGCUGCCCCUCCUCCUCCACCUGUCCCCAGGGGCCGUGGUGUUGUACCACCUCGUGGGGCUUUGGUGCGUGGUACGCCAGUGAGAGGAGCCAUCACCAGAGGUGCCACUGUGACUCGAGGAGUGCCACCCCCACCUACUGUGAGGGGUGCUCCAACACCAAGGGCACGGACAGCAGGCAUCCAGAGAAUACCUUUGCCUCCACCCCCUGCACCAGAAACAUAUGAAGAUUAUGGAUAUGAUGAUACAUAUGCAGAGCAGAGUUAUGAAGGCUACGAAGGCUAUUACAGCCAGAGCCAAGGGGACUCAGAAUAUUAUGACUAUGGACAUGGGGAGGUUCAAGAUUCUUAUGAAGCAUAUGGCCAAGACGACUGGAAUGGGACCAGGCCGUCGCUGAAGGCCCCUCCAGCUAGGCCGGUGAAGGGAGCAUACAGAGAGCACCCAUAUGGACGUUAUUAAAAACAAACAUGAGGGGAAAAUAUCAGUUAUGAGCAAAGUUGUUACUGAUUUCUUGUAUCUCCCAGGAUUCCUGUUGCUUUACCCACAACAGACAAGUCAUUGAAAACUCAAGACAUUUCCUGGAAUAGAAUGGGUAUUAAAGACCCAUGUCAGCAAUCAGAGGACUCCAGAAACUGGGAGAGCUGCCUGCUGUCAAGGCUGGCCUGAGGGCAUUUGCUGAGCACAGAGAAACACCAGAGAGAUCAACAUGUUCUCACCCGCUUCAUUGAUAUGUCUGAUUUACACACAAAAAGCCAGUUAGGAUCCCCUAAGAGUCUCUAGGCCCAAAAUGAAGUACUCAGGGUUGCAGGGGACUGUGAUACUAACAGUUAAACAUGCUCAGAACUUGAAAAAAAUCGAAGGGGAGCCCGGCCGGUGUGGCUCAGUGGUUGAGCAUUGACCCAUGAGCCAGGAGGUUCAGGUUCGAUUCCUGGUCAGGGCACAUGCCCAGGUUGCAGGCUCGGUCCCCAGUGAGGGAUGUGCAGGAGACAGCCAAUCAAUGUUUCUCUCUCAUUAAUGUUUCUAUCUCUCCCUUCCUCUCUCUCUAAAAAUCAAUAAAAAACAUUUUUUUAAAUGUUGAAGGGGACUAACAGUAUCCUCAUCAUGGCCUAAAUCUGAAUAAACUGGCACCUCCUGUGUCAUUCCCAGUUUGCCUGCUUCACCUUAGCCUCCAACAGAACUGGCUAGAACACCUACCUAUUCCUCACCACUUAUUUCCCUCCCUGCCACAUCUGUGUUUUGGGUGCCAACCUGGGGGCCCUUGGACGCUUCCAGAGGGCUCCUAGAGAGAAGCUGCUCACCAACUCCAUAACAGCCUGAGGAAAGCCAAGUGAGAAGGUUCGUUUAUUUUGGGCAAGUUAUUUAACCUCUGCACCUGUUUUUCUCUUCCUUGUUGAUUACUAAAAUUACUCAAAAAGUUCUUUAAGGGUAGGGCUUUAACUCCUGUACUGUAUCCCUUCCCCAGCAUAUAUCUGGCAAUGAGGGGCUCAAUAAAGGUUUGGUCAAGUGAUGAAUAGUCCCACUCUGGUAGCUUCUAUCAACUUGGAGAGAGAACCAAAGCUUCCCUUUAGAGCUCCCAAUUACCUUCUAGUUACAUUAGGCUAGCUAUUUGCCCUAACAUUUCUCUUGAAGGAUUGGAAAGUCAACCUUUGAUACAGACUUCCGGUUUCCUGUGACCUAAAGUCUAGGCUGGUUUUACAAUGAGGUUC